UACAUUCUCUCGUGUAUGAAGGCAACUUGUUGUAUGCAGCUUCCUGCAUAGGGUCUUCAUCCCAAAAAAUAACCAUGGCGGCCACUGAAAUAGCUAGGCAAGCGGGCGAAGGUGCUCGCGCCGUCCCUCUCACCGGCCAUGUCGGCUUCGACAGCAUGCCCGACCAACUGGUCAACAAGUCUGUCAACCACGGCUUUUGCUUCAACAUCCUCUGCGUUGGUGAGACGGGCCUCGGCAAGUCCACUCUCAUGGACACCCUGUUCAACACCAAGUUCGAGGGUGAGCCCACCCAGCACAACCAGCCGGGCGUGCAGCUCAAGUCCAACACCUACGAGCUCCAGGAGAGCAACGUGCGCCUCAAGCUGACCGUGGUCAACACUGUGGGCUUCGGAGACCAGAUCAACAAAGAGAACAGCUACAAGUCUAUUGUGGAGUUUAUCGACACCCAGUUUGAGGCCUAUCUGCAGGAGGAGCUGAAAAUCAAGCGCACGUUACACAGCUACCACGACACACGCAUCCACGCCUGCCUGUACUUCAUCACGCCCACCGGACACUCCCUCAAGUCCCUGGACCUAGUCACUAUGAAGAAACUGGACAGCAAGGUCAACAUCAUCCCCAUCAUCGCCAAAUCAGACGCAAUCUCCAAGAGCGAGUUGACCAAGUUCAAGAUCAAGAUCACCAGUGAGCUGGUCAGCAACGGUGUUCUGAUCUACCAAUUCCCCACUGACGACGAGACGGUGGCAGAGAUCAACUCCACCAUGAACGCCCAUUUGCCGUUCGCCGUGGUGGGAAGCACGGAGGAAGUGAAGAUCGGCAACAAGAUGGUGAAAGCGCGGCAGUACCCCUGGGGGACGGUACAGGUGGAGAAUGAGAACCACUGUGACUUUGUGAAGCUGAGAGAGAUGCUGAUCAGGGUGAACAUGGAGGAUCUUAGAGAGCAGACUCACACCAGACACUACGAGCUCUACCGCCGCUGCAAGCUGGAGGAGAUGGGCUUCAAGGACACGGACCCUGACUGCAAACCCUUCAGUCUGCAGGAGACGUACGAGGCCAAGAGGAACGAGUUCAUGGGAGAGCUGCAGAAGAAAGAGGAAGAGAUGAGGCAGAUGUUCGUCCAGAGAGUCAAAGAAAAGGAGGCUGAGCUGAAGGAGGCCGAGAAAGAGCUGCACGAGAAGUUUGACCGGCUCAAGAAGCUGCACCAGGAUGAGAAGAAGAAGCUGGAGGACAAGAAGAAAUCCCUGGAUGACGAGCUCAACGGCUUCAAGCAGAAAAAGAUGGCCGCCGAGCUCCUGCAGUCCCAGGCCCAGCAGGCAGGUGGCUCCACCACACUCAAGAGGGACAAGGAGAGAAAAAAUUCAGGAUUCCUGUAGGAAUGAUUUUUCACCCCAUCCCUGGCAGUGCCAUGCUGUUCUCUGUGCCCUCCUGCCCUCCCCCCUCUCCCCCAUUCCAAACCCCACACAUGCCCCUGCCAAGUGGAAGAAUCCAGCCAUUACUGUGAAUGGGAAUCCUUGACUCAAAUGCAUCCUUUUUGCGCUAAAGAUGCUUGUUUUUCUUCUUUUAAUCUGUCUCGGCCACCUGUCUGAAGAGGGGAUUGCAGCUUCAACAAGAACUAAGCACCCAUUUCUUCUUCCUGUCUUUUCUCACUGCAUCAACCUUUUUUAACUUCCAUCUCAUCUGCUUUGUUGACCAUGGCCUAACGUGGGCUUCACACUGUACACUUUGGCAAGUGGGAGUCCUUCACUCUUAAUAUUUUGCAGCUCCGUCUUGGUGUGUGAAUAAACUGAGUUUUGCUCAGGUAGGAUUCUAGACGGUUGUUCAAGAGAAACACAUCAAAUCAAUAGUUUCAUCAUACCAAUUGUAAAAGAGCCAAGGCUCUGGAUUAAUUUAUAUUUUGCACAAAACUAUCAGAAUUUCAUUGACAGUUAAUUUUAAGGAGGUCUUUAUGUAAUAACAUUCAAUCAUAUAUUAAGUCAAUAUUGAGAUGGGCUUGUUCUGUUUGAAAUUACCAUUACUAUUACAAAUAGCCUAUAUUAUUCAUGUGCUCCUCAUUCACAGGGGUAGUUAGUUCUGAAUACAAAUAGCACAACCCAGAUCUCAAUAAAACACUGAUAAAACCCAAAGACAUUAAUUUGGUGAUUGAUAGAGCAAAGUGUGACAUCUUACCUUAUAUGUGUGACUAGUAUAUACUUUUGUCAUUUAAAAACCAAAAGACAAUUGCGAUCCAAAACAGUGUUCUUUAUGUUCACUGCAUAGGUUGUUUCAUUGGAACUUAGAAGAGCCAGAGCCGUAUUCAUGUCAAGCACUUAUUUAGUGAAAACACAUUUUCCGUACUGAAAUACCAUGUAGGUCACAUUUAAUGCCAUCAACCUAUUCUGUAUUUUGCAUGUCUAAUGCUCCUUUUUAUUUCAUCACCUCUGUGAUCUUGUCCUUUUGCUCCCAUAGCUGUUUUCUCCCCUAACCUUUCCGUUUUGCACUCUUUCACAUUUGGUGCUCUAUAUUGUUUGGAUCAGUUGUAUCUUGUGUAUUACUCCUUGUUAUGUGCAGUUAUACCCUCUCCACAAUUUUCAGCACCCAUAUUGCCAAAUAUUACAAUGAGAUGGAGUUGAAUCCUAGAUACAGAUUGAUACAUUUGUAUAAUUUAUAAGGAUAUAUUUUGUGUAUUGAAGUGGAGACCGGUGUAGUUACAUUUUGGUGUAAAAAAUUGCCAUACAUUUUUCUAGUAUCUGCCAUAAUCACCCCUCCUAAUCAAUUACCCGUCCACACCACAAAUGUAAUAUGAAAUAUUUUAUUGUAGUUUGAUUCCAUUUAUGUAAAUUUUCAAUAAAAUGAUUCAGAUAGUG